rnacentral:rRNA from 1 species
UGGGGAAUAUUGCGCAAUGGGGGAAACCCUGACGCAGCAACGCCGCGUGAAGGAUGAAGGCUUUCGGGUUGUAAACUUCUUUGAUGAGGGACGAAUAAUGACGGUACCUCAAAAACAAGCCACGGCUAACUACGUGCCAGCAGCCGCGGUAAUACGUAGGUGGCGAGCGUUGUCCGGAAUUACUGGGUGUAAAGGGCGUGUAGGCGGGGAUGUAAGUCAGAUGUGAAAUGCCGAAGCUUAACUUCGGAGCUGCAUCUGAAACUGUGUCUCUUGAGUGUCGGAGAGGAAAGCGGAAUUCCCAGUGUAGCGGUGAAAUGCGUAGAUAUUGGGAGGAACACCAGUGGCGAAGGCGGCUUUCUGGACGAUAACUGACGCUGAGGCGCGAAAGCGUGGGGAGCAAACA